rnacentral:lncRNA from 1 species
CUCCUUGAAGAACAAUCAAAGGUUGAGUAUUUAGAAGGAGAAAGCUUCAGCCAUUGCUGCGUUCCUGCGCGAGCUAGCACUCCCGCGGAAGACGAUCUACCUAGGACUUUGCAUGUACUUCUCAUAGAGGCCAUUCGUGUGCGUGGAUGCGAAGUCAAGGAUUAGAUCCAUAAGUUUCUUCCAUCAUAAAAGGUAUUAAUCCCACAUCAAUAUUUUAUUUUGGAGUCAGGGUCUAGGUCUGAUUCUCCGAGGUUUAACCCUCCUUUGGAGCUCCUCA